UCUUAUUCCUUUUUUUACCCGCGUGAUACCCUCUCUCUCCUUCCUCUUUCUCUCCCGACACCAUUGCAGCCCUUUUCUCACCCUUCUUCUUCCCCGACAGACGUGCUUACCCUCAGACCCUCUCACUACCACUCUCCAUCGCUCACCUUGCCUCUCCAUCCCUCUCUCCGUCGCUCAACUCGUCUCUUUGUUCUUCUCUCCGGCCAUCACGUGUUCAUCUCCAAGAGCUAAUUUCCUCUUCAUUUUUUUUUUCAAUUUUCUUUAUAGAUUAAAGUAGUUGUUGUUGUUGUUGUUGUUUUAUUUUUUUAUUUUUUUUUCCAAAUUGGUGGUUAGAAUUAGGGCAGUGGGGUUAGAUUUAGGGUUCGUAAAUUGGGGGUUACAUUUAGGCUCUUAAAUUAGAGUUUUUACGGUUUUUAAUUGGGGUUAGAUUUAGGUCUUAAAUUAGGGGAAUGAUUUUGGGCAGUGAGGUUAGAUUAGGUUUUCUUAAAUUGGGAGUUAGAUUUAGGGUGCUUCAUUGGGGAUUAUAUUAGGGUUCUUAAAUUAGGGUUUUUUUAAUUUCAAAGUAAAGGAUUAGAAUUUGGGCCGUGAUAUUUUUUAAUUUGAAGAACAUAAAUAGAUUUGGUGUGCUUCCCUGAAGAACUAUUUUGCUCAUUCCCAGUAAAUCUAAUCUCCACAAUCCAUCAAUAAAAGAAUUGCAGGUGAUAAUAUAUGUAUACAGGACAAACAAUGUUCAUAGAUAUAUAUUUUUUACACACUGCAGUGCAGCAGCCUACUAAUACUCCUCUCUCUCUCUCUCUCUCUCUCUCUCUCGCUCUCUCUCUCUCUCAAGUCUUCAGUCCUAAAUAGAGACAAAGUGUUAUUUGGUGCUAAUCAGUUGUUUAGUUGGAUGACCAUUUUCCCGAGUCACAUAUUUUCAUUUCGCCAUCAGUAGUGAAACAAUAUUCUUUGAAUUUUGGAUGUGAUUGCAACGUGUAUCAAUGAUAUUAUACAAGGGCUGUUACUCUUUUCAAAAUAUAUUGCAUUGUUACUAUUGCUCUUUAGUUGUGUAAGUGACGUCUUCUUUCUAUAUGUCGGCCCUUUUUAGGUUAUGUAUAUGUUAUCUGUCCAUUUUAGAGUCCAUUUUAUGAAUGUUCUCUACAAUUCGACCAAAAAAAAGAACUUAUAAGGUUCUUUUUAGGUCAUUUCAUUUUAUAGAAUUUGGUUUACAUAUUAUGUUUGAAACGUGCUGGGCUUAGAGUCCACAAGAACAUCAAGACAGAGCACAGUUCAAUAUCAAAAUUGUGUAAAUGGCUUCCAAGAGCAAGUGGUCUUCAUUCCUUUAGUGAUUGUAUGCAUUAUUGGACUAAUUUUGUGCUUAAAGACAACUUUUGUUGUAGUAGUGUGAGUGACAAUGUUAGAUCACUAUUACCAUUUCACGAUUUCACAUAAACCAUAAGUCAAACACCAAAUAGACAAUUCUUUCCUCUCCCUGUCCCUCUUACACUCACUCGUAUACUCCCCUUGCAAGUUGAUCUUUAGGUAAAAACACGAAUACAACUAAUCAUAAUCCUAAAAACAAUCUCAGCUUCUGCUUCUAGCAUUAUAAGGAAAUUUUUACCAUAUGCUAUAUAUCUCAAAUCCCUAGUACUGCUACUUCAUCAUGAUUUUGGAGUCUGCUCAAACAUGUACUGACAGGAGCUGAAAAAUCUUGCAAUGUUCCUCUUGUUUUAGCAGUUGCAAUUUAUUUUUUGGGUGGAAUUAUGAAAUAAGUCCUACGAAAGUGUAUCAAAUAUGUGUUAAAAAUUAUGUCCCCGAAUCCUUAUGCAUAUAUAUAAUCAUAGUGUUGUUUGUAAAUAGUGACAAGUGAAUAAUUUUCCACAUAUAAAAGUAGGACUCCAUACAAUAUUCCCUUAGACCCUUGGUUAAAACCCACAUGAGCCCGACUCCUUGUUUUUCCAUUUAAAUGUAGUUACUGCCUCAGAGCAAUGGAUUAUACUAUUGGUUGGGGACUAUUGCAUGUCCUCUAGGUUGUGGCCUUGUCGAGAAAAACGUAAAAUUGUAUAGAAUCCAUGUUUAAUUUUUGUUGUCUUUGCUAAUCAUUCCUUUCCUUUUGCAUGCAUCGUUGCCCUUGUUUAAGUAUAAUUAUUGCUCAGAAUUGACAUGAACGUGCACCUUGUCGGUAUAGUUUUGGCCAAUUUUGUGUCUCGAGUGCUUUUUUGUUUCUAUCUUUACAUACCUGCCUCUUUAUUGCAGUACAGUACGGUUAGAGUUUGGGUGAAAGACAUUAACCCACAUAUUAUAUUAUGAUUCAUGUAUAGAUGCAGUUUUAAUUUUUGUUUCUGCCAAACUUGAAUUAGGUUUAGAAUUAGGGUUUUUAAAGUUCAUUUUAAAUUUAAGUACAAAUUAUUAUGCAUGUGUACGAUAAUUUUAAUCUUUGUAAUCUAACAAAUAUAUUUCCAAUUUUGUAGACGUCACAGCUCAUUAGAACUUGGAAGGCGAUGACUUCUACACCUCAUCCGACGAUUACACCUACUACUACCGCCACUACUCCGACAAUGAUGGACCAUAGGCCGGUGAAUCCGGUUGACCUAGUUGGUCCUCCAGUCCCAUAGGCGCCGGCAUCUUCGACUUCUUAGGUGGCACUACUUGUUGCACCUGACGUGCUCACUGGUGCCCCUGCACUAAGGAGCAGAUGUCGCCAUCAGGAUCCACAACCAAUGCCUCGGGUCCACCCCUAGCCAAGAAAAACACCCGGGGACCUUGUCGGCAAUUGAAGACGGCGAAGGUCACCCGGGUGACCAACAAUCGUAUCACAAUCGGAUACGAUGAGCAACAUCGUGCAACACCAACGACGGAGCAUCAUAGUGCAUUGGUCCACGACAUUGGGCACGUCGUGCGAACCUAUUGCCCUAUGCGGUAUAAGUCUUAGAAGGCGAUGCCGGAGGAGGUGAAGAGCACGAUACGCAAUCAUUUGUCGACAAACUACAAUUUCGAUAACAUCAACGAGGACAUGUUGGCAUACCUCAAUCGGCUCUUCUUCGAACGCUACAAGCAAUGGAAGAGUGACCUGCACUAGUAUUUCGAGAUGUUUGAUGAUCCGCAGUUUGUUCUCAAGGAGGGUUGCCCGAACGAGUUUGCGGACCGACAAGAUAGUUGGGUUUGGCUCUGCGGUCAUUUUCAGGAGUCGGGAUAUGUGAAAAAGGCGAAGACGAACAAGAUCAAUCAGGAGAAGAAGACUCUUCUCGACCAUUUGGGUUCGAGGCCUUUCUCAUAUAGGAUGGAGGCAUGGCAUAAGGAGGGUUGACUGAGUCCGGCGAUGAGUUGAUCGAAUCCCUUCAUGUAAGUAAUUUCUUAUGCAUUAAAGAUUUAUACUAAUUAAUUCAAAUUGUUUGCUAUUUAUAUUCCAUGUUUUAUUUCACAUGCAACUAUGAUGGAGAAGGGUCAGUCCGUCCUUCAGGAGUCCGCCUCCCAGCUUCCUCUGAACACGCCGAUCAAGUCUGUGGAUCCCCUUGAGGAUGCGGGGUUUCACAUCCUUACAUAGAUGUUGGACCAGACUUUCAGUCGAAGGCCAGGGACAUAUUGUCAGGGGAUAGGAAAUGCCAGGCAGUGGGAGAGUGGAGCCUCUUCAUCCUUAUAGUUGAAGGUUGAUGUUACGGUUUUGACGCAGGAAGUCGCUGGCUUGAGGAGUGAGCUCGCAUCGUAUAAGACUCAGAUGUCAUUGAUUGUACGAGCCCUCAGUUCCUCCAGGAUCUGUCUCCCCGAUUUUUCUGCACCACCACUGUCAGAGCCCCUCCACCCCGAGCAUACAUAGCAAUCAGACCCGUCGACCUCCGACGCCAUCCCCAACCCCACCCUCUUCCAACAACAAGAUUACCAAGCACCUUCGAAUGACUUGCUUAUAGAUUAUGCCUCAUUUUUUUCGUAGUUUUUAUUGCCGCUUUCUUUUUAAACUUUGUAUUUGUACGUACAUAUUUAUUUAUAUUAUACAUAAAUUGUUUUUCUAUUCAUUAAUUUGUUUUUGAUUUUUGAUUUUUUUUUU